rnacentral:rRNA from 1 species
GACAGAGGUGCCGAGCGUUAGGCGGAAUCACUGGGCUUAAAGCGUGUGUAGGCGGGCCGUUAAGUAUCUUGUGAAAUCCCCCCGGCUCAACCGGGGAAUGGCUGGAUAUACUGGCGGUCUUGAGCGAUCUAGGGGGCAGAUGGAACAAGUGGUGGAGCGGUGAAAAUGCGUAGAUAUCACUUGGAACGCCAAAGGUGAAAAACAUCUGCUGGGGGAUGAGCUGACGCUGAGACACGAAAAGCCCAGGGGGGAGCAAAAACGG